UACGUAGGGGGCGAGCGUUGUCCGGAAUCACUGGGCGUAAAGGGCGCGUAGGCGGCCUGAGAAGUCGCAGGUGAAAUCCCACGGCUCAACCGUGGAACUGCCUGCGAAACCAUUGGGCUUGAGGACAGGAGAGGGAAGCGGAAUUCCUGGUGUAGCGGUGAAAUGCGUAGAUAUCAGGAGGAACACCAGUGGCGAAGGCGGCUUUCUGGCCUGGUCCUGACGCUGAGGCGCGAAAGCUAGGGGAGCAAACAGGAUUAGAUACCCCCGUAGUCC
rnacentral:rRNA from 1 species